rnacentral:rRNA from 1 species
CCUACGGGCGGCAGCAGUGGGGGAUAUUGCACAAUGGGGGGAACCCUGAUGCAGCGACGCCGCGUGGGUGAAGGAGUGCUUCGGCAUGUAAAGCCCUAUCGGCAGGGAAGAAGCAAGACGGUACCUGACUAAGAAGCCCCGGCUAACUGCGUGACAGCAGCCGCGGUAAUACGGAGGGGGCGAGCGUUAUCCGGAUUCAUUGGGUGUAAAGGGAGCGUAGACGGUUAUGCAAGCCAGGGGGGAAAGCCCGGGGCCCAACCCCGGGACUGCCCUUGGAACUGUGCGGCUAGAGUGCGGGAGGGGCAGGCGGAAUUCCUGGUGUAGCGGUGAAAUGCUUAGAUAUCAGGAGGAACACCGGCGGCGAAGGCGGCCUGCUGGACCGCGACUGACGUUGAGGCUCGAAAGCGUGGGUAGCGAACAGGAUUAGAUACCCGGGUAGUC